AACGAACGCUGGCGGCAUGCCUAACACAUGCAAGUCGAACGAGACCUUCUGGUCUAGUGUCGCACGGGUGCGUAACGCGUGGGAACCUGCCCUUAGGUUCGGAAUAACUCCCCGCAAGGGGUUCUAAUACCGGAUAAUGUCUUCGGACCAAAGAUUUAUCGCCUUUGGAUGGGCCCGCGUUGGAUUAGCUAGUUGGUAGGGUAAAAGCCUACCAAGGCGACGAUCCAUAGCUGGUCUGAGAGGAUGAUCAGCCACACUGGGACUGAGACACGGCCCAGACUCCUACGGGAGGCAGCAGUGGGGAAUAUUGGACAAUGGGCGAAAGCCUGAUCAAGCAAUGCCGCGUGAGUGAUGAAGGCCUUAGGGUUGUAAAGCUCUUUUACCCGGGAUGAUAAUGACAGUACCGGGAGAAUAAGCUCCGGCUAACUCCGUG
rnacentral:rRNA from 1 species